AUUGAACGCUGGCGGCAUGCUUUACACAUGCAAGUCGAACGGCAGCGCGGGCUUCGGCCUGGCUGCGAGUGGCGAACGGGUGAGUAAUACAUCGGAACGUGCCCAGUAGGGGGGGAUAGCUCGGCGAAAGCCGGAUUAAUACCGCAUACGACCUGAGGGUGAAAGCGGGGGAGCUUCGGACCUCGCGCUAUUGGGGCGGCCGAUGGCAGAUUAGCUAGUUGGUGGGGUAAAGGCCUACCAAGGGGACGAUCUGGAGCUGGUCUGAGGGGAAGAGCAGCCAGACUGGGACGGAGACACGGCCCAGACUCCUACGGGAGGCAGCAGUGGGGAAUUUUGGACAAUGGGCGAAAGCAUAAUCCAGCAAUGCCGCGUGUGUGAUGAAGGCCUUCGGGUUGUAAAGCACUUUUGGCGGGAAUGAAAAGGACUGUGCCAAUACCACGGUUCGAUGACGGUACCCGCAGAAUAAGCACCGGCUAACUACGUG
rnacentral:rRNA from 1 species